GACGAACGCUGGCGGCGUGCUUAACACAUGCAAGUCGAGCGGAAAGGCCACUUCGGUGGUACUCGAGCGGCGAACGGGUGAGUAACACGUGAGUAAUCUGCCCCUCACUUUGGGAUAGCCACCGGAAACGGUGAUUAAUACCGGAUAUGACCAUAUGUCGCAUGGCGUGUGGUGGAAAGUUUUUCGGUGAGGGAUGUGCUCGCGGCCUAUCAGCUUGAUGGUGAGGUAAUGGCUCACCAUGGCUUCGACGGGUAGCCGGCCUGAGAGGGUGACCGGUCACACUGGGACUGAGACACGGCCCAGACUCCUACGGGAGGCAGCAGUGGGGAAUAUUGGACAAUGGGCGGAAGCCUGAUCCAGCAACGCCGCGUGAGGGAUGACGGCCUUCGGGUUGUAAACCUCUUUCAGUACCGACGAAGCGCAAGUGACGGUAGGUACAGAAGAAGCACCGGCCAACUACG
rnacentral:rRNA from 1 species